rnacentral:rRNA from 1 species
GGAGCCGAAGGGAAACCGAGUCUUAACUGGGCGUUAAGUUGCAGGGUAUAGACCCGAAACCCGGUGAUCUAGCCAUGGGCAGGUUGAAGGUUGGGUAACACUAACUGGAGGACCGAACCGACUAAUGUUGAAAAAUUAGCGGAUGACUUGUGGCUGGGGGUGAAAGGCCAAUCAAACCGGGAGAUAGCUGGUUCUCCCCGAAAGCUAUUUAGGUAGCGCCUCGUGAAUUCAUCUCCGGGGGUAGAGCACUGUUUCGGCAAGGGGGUCAUCCCGACUUACCAACCCGAUGCAAACUGCGAAUACCGGAGAAUGUUAUCACGGGAGACACACGGCGGGUGCUAACGUCCGUCGUGAAGAGGGAAACAACCCAGACCGCCAGCUAAGGUCCCAAAGUCAUGGUUAAGUGGGAAACGAUGUGGGAAGGCCCAGACAGCCAGGAUGUUGGCUUAGAAGCAGCCAUCAUUUAAAGAAAGCGUAAUAGCUCACUGGUCGAGUCGGCCUGCGCGGAAGAUGUAACGGGGCUAAACCAUGCACCGAAGCUGCGGCAGCGACGCUUAUGCGUUGUUGGGUAGGGGAGCGUUCUGUAAGCCUGCGAAGGUGUGCUGUGAGGCAUGCUGGAGGUAUCAGAAGUGCGAAUGCUGACAUAAGUAACGAUAAAGCGGGUGAAAAGCCCGCUCGCCGGAAGACCAAGGGUUCCUGUCCAACGUUAAUCGGGGCAGGGUGAGUCGACCCCUAAGGCGAGGCCGAAAGGCGUAGUCGAUGGGAAACAGGUUAAUAUUCCUGUACUUGGUGUUACUGCGAAGGGGGGACGGAGAAGGCUAUGUUGGCCGGGCGACGGUUGUCCCGGUUUAAGCGUGUAGGCUGGUUUUCCAGGCAAAUCCGGAAAAUCAAGGCUGAGGCGUGAUGACGAGGCACUACGGUGCUGAAGCAACAAAUGCCCUGCUUCCAGGAAAAGCCUCUAAGCAUCAGGUAACAUCAAAUCGUACCCCAAACCGACACAGGUGGUCAGGUAGAGAAUACCAAGGCGCUUGAGAGAACUCGGGUGAAGGAACUAGGCAAAAUGGUGCCGUAACUUCGGGAGAAGGCACGCUGAUAUGUAGGUGAAGUCCCUCGCGGAUGGAGCUGAAAUCAGUCGAAGAUACCAGCUGGCUGCAACUGUUUAUUAAAAACACAGCACUGUGCAAACACGAAAGUGGACGUAUACGGUGUGACGCCUGCCCGGUGCCGGAAGGUUAAUUGAUGGGGUUAGCGCAAGCGAAGCUCUUGAUCGAAGCCCCGGUAAACGGCGGCCGUAACUAUAACGGUCCUAAGGUAGCGAAAUUCCUUGUCGGGUAAGUUCCGACCUGCACGAAUGGCGUAAUGAUGGCCAGGCUGUCUCCACCCGAGACUCAGUGAAAUUGAACUCGCUGUGAAGAUGCAGUGUACCCGCGGCAAGACGGAAAGACCCCGUGAACCUUUACUAUAGCUUGACACUGAACAUUGAGCCUUGAUGUGUAGGAUAGGUGGGAGGCUUUGAAGUGUGGACGCCAGUCUGCAUGGAGCCGACCUUGAAAUACCACCCUUUAAUGUUUGAUGUUCUAACGUUGACCCGUGAUCCGGGUUGCGGACAGUGUCUGGUGGGUAGUUUGACUGGGGCGGUCUCCUCCUA